UGCAAAUCAAUAUAAAUUGAAUUAUAAGUUACUUAUUAAAAAAAUUUAUUUAUGGUAUUAUUUAUUAAAAAUAAUUAUAAAAAUUGGUUGUUUUAGUAUUUUUUUUGAAAAAAUAAAUUUUAUAAUAGUUAAUUUGUACUGUGAAGGUUAGUUGAAGUAAAUGAAAAAUUUUUAUAAAUAAAGAAUUUUUAGUUUAUUGUACCUUGUGUAUUAGGGUUUAUUAAUUAAUUAAUAAUUAUUUAUUUUUCUCGAUUUUAUAAGAGUUAAUAAUUUAUUAAAGUUAAUGUGUUAUAUUUAUUUUUUAUAAAUUAUUAGAAAUGAAAUGUUAUUCGUUUAUAAAGGUAUCUAGUUUUUUUAGAAAUAAAUUUAAUUUACAAAUUUUAAUUAAUCUUAUUUUUUUUUAUAAAAAUAAGAAGUUAUUAAUUUGAAUAUUUAAGGGGAUAAGCUUUUAAAUAAAUUUUUAAAAAUAUAUUUAUAUACAUAUAUAUAUAUAUAUAUAUAUAUAUGCAUAGAAUUAGUAAUUAUUAUUAAGUUUGUUUUAAACUAUUUAUUAAUUUAUAUUAUUUAUUGAUAUUUUAAUUUUUUAUAAAAAUUUUUUUUUUAAUUUAGUUUAAAAAUUAAUAAUGAUAAAAUUAGUAUAAAUAUUUGUGAAAAUAAAUUUAUUAGAUAAGUUUUUAUAAAGAAUUCGGCAAAUUUAUAUGUUCGCCUGUUUAACAAAAACAUGUCUUUUUGAGUUAAUUUUAAAGUCUGACCUGCUCAAUGAUUUAAUUUAAAUGGCCGCAGUAUUUUGACUGUGCAAAGGUAGCAUAAUCAAUAGUUUUUUAAUUGAAGACUUGUAUGAAUGGUUGGACGAAGCAUAAACUGUUUCAUAUAAAUUUAUUUUAGAAUUUUAUAUUUUAGUAAAAAAGCUAAAAUAUAAUUAAAAGACGAGAAGACCCUAUAAAUCUUUAUAUUUUAUUUAUAUUUUAAUUUUUUAAUUUAAUUUUAUUAAAAAAUAAAAUAAUAUUUUAUUGGGGUGAUAUUAAAAUUUAAUUAACUUUUAAUUUAAAUAAACAUUUAUUUAUGAUUUAUUGAUCUAUUAAUAAUGAUUAAAAGAAUAAGUUACUUUAGGGAUAACAGCGUAAUUUUUUUGGAGAGUUCUUAUUGAUAAAAAAGAUUGCGACCUCGAUGUUGGAUUAAGGGAUAAUUUUAGGUGUAGUAGCUUAGGUAUUAAGUCUGUUCGACUUU
rnacentral:rRNA from 1 species